rnacentral:rRNA from 1 species
GAAUUGUUCACAAUGGGCGCAAGCCUGAUGACGCAACGCCGCGUGGAGGAUGAAGGUCUUCGGAUUGUAAACUCCUGUUGCCCGGGACGCAUGGCUCCAACCUCACACGUUGGCGUGUGACGGUACCUGGUGAGGAAGCCCCGCCUAACUCUGUGCCAGCAGCCGCGGUAAUACCGAGGGGGCAAGCGUUGUUCGGCAUUACUGGGCGUAAAGGGCGCGUAGGCGGCCCGCUAAGUCGAACGUGAAAUCCCCGAGCUCAACUCGGGAACUGCGUCCGAUACUGGCAGGCUUGAAUCCGGGAGAGGGAUGCGGAAUUCCAGGUGUAGCGGUGAAAUGCGUAGAUAUCUGGAGGAACACCGGUGGCGAAGGCGGCAUCCUGGACCGGCAUUGACGCUGAUGCGCGAAAGCUAGGGGAGCAAACGGG